UCCCCUCCUGAAGCAUGUUUUUCAAGGACUGAAGAUUCCGGAGCAGUACUUUGUCCUGAUUGUGAGAUUGUGCAAAUUCCGAAGACAGGAUUUCAGAGCACACUGUCAUGGCUGGAGUCUGUGAAGUUGAGUGAUUUUGUCAGCUUGCAGUCACUGCUUCCCUAUAAAGAGUCUGAGAAGAAUAUGGCUAUUCGGUAUGGUCCACCUGUAUUACCCAAAGAAUCAGCAGAAGUUUCUGUUGUAGUUUGCCAUGUGAAUAGUCCUGGUGAUUUCUACCUUCAGCUGGUAAGUCCAGACCAUAAAAAUACUUCCCUAUUUCUGCAAUUCAUAUGUGUAGAAUAUAAAAUAUGGAGUUACAGAAGUAAUACCCUACACAACAUCUCUCCACUUUUACCCCCAAGGAUCUUAGGAAAUUGGGUUCAACAUGACUGUACUGUAUAUACUUCAGUGCUUACUACAGUG